UGAGGAAUAUUGGACAAUGGAGGCAACUCUGAUCCAGCCAUGCCGCGUGCAGGAAGACUGCCCUAUGGGUUGCAAACUGCUUUUAUAUAGGAAGAAACGUCCCGACGUGUCGGGAUUUGACGGUACUAUAAGA
rnacentral:rRNA from 1 species